rnacentral:misc_RNA from 1 species
GAUGAAGAACGCAGUGAAAUGCGAUAAGUAAUGUGAAUUGCAGAAUUCAGUGAAUCAUCGAAUCUUUGAACGCAUCUUGCGCUCCUUGGUAUUCUGAGGAGCAUGCCUGUUUGAGGGUCAUUAAAUUCUCAACUACACUGACUUUGAAUUGGUGUGGCUUGGAUUUGGGGGGAAAAUUGUUGUGGGCUUUUUGUAUAGUCUGCUCCCCUGAAAUUGAUUAGCGGUACCUUUGUGGAACUGUCUACAGGUGUGAUAAUUAUCUACAUCUUAGACAUCUGCUGGAAUGCUGCUCUCUAAACCUUACUUGUAUUGACAAUCUUGACCUCAAAUCAGGUAGGACUACCCGCUGAACUUAAGCAUAUCAAUAAGCGGAGGA